GCAAAUAUAGUUUUAACAAAAACAUUAGAUUGUGAAUCUAAAAUUAGGAGUUUAAAUCUCCUUAUAUGCA
rfam:Sarcophilus harrisii ctg7180001484304, whole genome shotgun sequence.